rnacentral:rRNA from 1 species
GACGAACUCUGGCGGCGUGCUUAACACAUGCAAGUCGAACGGAAAGGCCCUGCUUUUGUGGGGUGCUCGAGUGGCGAACGGGUGAGUAACACGUGAGUAACCUGCCCUUGACUUUGGGAUAACUUCAGGAAACUGGGGCUAAUACCGGAUAGGAGCUCCUGCUGCAUGGUGGGGGUUGGAAAGUUUCGGCGGUUGGGGAUGGACUCGCGGCUUAUCAGCUUGUUGGUGGGGUAGUGGCUUACCAAGGCUUUGACGGGUAGCCGGCCUGAGAGGGUGACCGGCCACAUUGGGACUGAGAUACGGCCCAGACUCCUACGGGAGGCAGCAGUGGGGAAUAUUGCACAAUGGGCGGAAGCCUGAUGCAGCAACGCCGCGUGCGGGAUGACGGCCCUCGGGUUGUAAACCGCUUUCGCCUGUGACGAAGCGUGAGUGACGGUAAUGGGUAAAGAAGCACCGGCUAACUACGUGCCAGCAGCCGCGGUGAUACGUAGGGUGCGAGCGUUGUCCGGAUUUAUUGGGCGUAAAGGGCUCGUAGGUGGUUGAUCGCGUCGGAAGUGUAAUCUUGGGGCUUAACCCUGAGCGUGCUUUCGAUACGGGUUGACUUGAGGAAGGUAGGGGAGAAUGGAAUUCCUGGUGGAGCGGUGGAAUGCGCAGAUAUCAGGAGGAACACCAGUGGCGAAGGCGGUUCUCUGGGCCUUUCCUGACGCUGAGGAGCGAAAGCGUGGGGAGCGAACAGGCUUAGAUACCCUGGUAGUCCACGCUGUAAACGGUGGGUACUAGGUGUGGGGUCCAUUCCACGGGUUCCGUGCCGUAGCUAACGCUUUAAGUACCCCGCCUGGGGAGUACGGCCGCAAGGCUAAAACUCAAAGGAAUUGACGGGGCCCCGCACAAGCGGCGGAGCAUGCGGAUUAAUUCGAUGCAACGCGUAGAACCUUACCUGGGUUUGACAUGGAUCGGGAGUGCUCAGAGAUGGGUGUGCCUCUUUUGGGGUCGGUUCACAGGUGGUGCAUGGCUGUCGUCAGCUCGUGUCGUGAGAUGUUGGGUUAAGUCCCGCAACGAGCGCAACCCUUGUUCACUGUUGCCAGCACGUUAUGGUGGGGACUCAGUGGAGACCGCCGGGGUCAACUCGGAGGAAGGUGGGGGUGACGUCAAGUCAUCAUGCCCCUUAUGUCCAGGGCUUCACGCAUGCUACAAUGGCUGGUACAGAGAGUGGCGAGCCUGUGAGGGUGAGCGAAUCUCGGAAAGCCGGUCUCAGUUCGGAUUGGGGUCUGCAACUCGACCUCAUGAAGUCGGAGUCGCUAGUAAUCGCAGAUCAGCAACGCUGCGGUGAAUACGUUCCCGGGGCU